GAUGAACGCUGGCGGCGUGCCUAAUACAUGCAAGUCGAGCGAACAGAUGAGGAGCUUGCUCCUCUGACGUUAGCGGCGGACGGGUGAGUAACACGUGGAUAACCUACCUAUAAGACUGGGAUAACUUCGGGAAACCGGAGCUAAUACCGGAUAAUAUAUUGAACCGCAUGGUUCAAUAGUGAAAGACGGUUUUGCUGUCACUUAUAGAUGGAUCCGCGCCGCAUUAGCUAGUUGGUAAGGUAACGGCUUACCAAGGCAACGAUGCGUAGCCGACCGGAGAGGGUGAUCGGCCACACUGGAACCGAGACACGGUCCAGACUCCUACGGGAGGCAGCAGUAGGGAAUCUUCCGCAAUGGGCGAAAGCCUGACGGAGCAACGCCGCGUGAGUGAUGAAGGUCUUCGGAUCGUAAAACUCUGUUAUUAGGGAAGAACAAAUGUGUAAGUAACUAUGCACGUCUUGACGGUACCUAAUCAGAAAGCCACGGCUAACUACGUG
rnacentral:rRNA from 1 species